CAGUCGCCACGGUAAUACGAAGGGUGCAAGCGUUACUCGGAAUUACUGGGCGUAAAGCGUGUGUAGGUGGUUGUUUAAGUCUGUCGUGAAAUCCCCGGGCUCAACCUGGGAAUGGCAAUGGAUACUGGCAAGCUAGAGUGUGUCAGAGGAUGGUGGAAUUCCCGGUGUAGCGGUGAAAUGCGUAGAGAUCGGGAGGAACAUCAGUGGCGAAGGCGGCCAUCUGGGACAACACUGACGCUGAGGCACGAAAGCGUGGGGAGCAAACAGGAUUAGAUACCCGCGUAGUCCCUGUCUCUUAUAC
rnacentral:rRNA from 1 species